GGGUGCUGGUCGUGGACAAAGACUGAUUCCUCUCGGUCCGGUGUAUCACACAGGCUGCGGACUGGAUGUCGAUGGCCAGGGGAAGAAGAACGAUGGGCGCGUGCGUUCGUGUUGUUGAAUCGAUUCGAUGACGAGUGGUGGUGGCUGCGAGCAUGGUUCUGGUGAUUGGAAGUGAGAAAACAUAGAAAUGAUAUUGCGGCGCUAUUUGGGACUGUCACCUCAGAACUUCUACGCGGUCAUUUAAUAACAUGCAAAUUAAUACAGUCAUAAUAAAGUUGUGUUGAGAAUACGACAUU